CUCUUCUUCAGGAAUGCCGCUGUGGCGUGCAGGUGGCGGGGUAGAGGAAACCACAUGAGAAAAAUUCUCUGGCCUGGUUCUCCCACCCAGCCUCCAAAACCACUUUCCCAGAAGAAAAGAUCGAGAGGCAGGGCUACAUUCAAAUAUAUCUUCCUUAUGUAAGGCGUGUCAGAGACCAUAUUUGGGGACAACUCAUGACCAGGAACAAGAUAAGGAUCUUUUGGAAUCUGAACAAACAAGUUACCUCCUGAAAACUGGCGUCGUUAAGACCAACGGCCAUAAACCAUAAUAGUUCUUCACAUCCUCUCCUGGUACAAACUGUCCUUAAUCACCACCCCCCCCCCCACCUCAAGCAUAUAUAUUCUUGCCCUGCACCUGCAAUAAAAGAGCCUUGACACUAUCA
rnacentral:lncRNA from 1 species